rnacentral:piRNA from 1 species
UGGAAUUGACAAUUUUUCUCA